rnacentral:lncRNA from 1 species
CCAUGCAAGAAGAAUUCUUGAGAAAGGUGCACUUACUUCAUCAUCAGAAACUUCCCUCGAAAAAUGAGGAAGCGUUUCUACCAAAAAGAGAAAUGAGUAAGUGUAGCUUGGCUUGAUUAGGUGUACUGUUAACAACUGUCAUGACGGUUACCUAGCGGAUGCCAUAAAAUAUGUCGUUUCCUAUCUUUGGUGUUUUCCUCAACGGCUAUAUUCACAUUAAUCCUGUGCAGACCAAUUGGGGAGAAGGAUCCACUCGUGGAGAAAGACCAAUUGAACUCUCCUCCUUGGGCGGUCAAAAUUGUAUGUCGGAUAAUUAUUGGCUGAAUCCGAACGAGGUGGGACAUUUCAAUGUUCAUCCGUUACUCCAUGAUAUUUGAAGAUCUCUCUGUCAUUCCACUAUGAUGGUUAUUUAGCAUGUCCUUCGAAAAAUAAAUAGUAUCGUGGAUUAUAUUGCUUAUUUUGUUGCCGACCACAUCGGAGAUUGAAUUUGAUGUCAAAGUGACGAUUGUUCAGAAAUCUUGCAUGAUAUUUUGUAUUCUGAUUUUUGGACUAUACUCGUACUAAAUUGAUGUGAUUAUCCAAUUGCAUCUAGAAAAAGGGAUAUAUCGAAAAAUUAAAUGCAUGUUAGAUAUUGGAAUCAUCCUCUAAGAAAACAAUGCUGUGACGACAUUACAUUAGAUG